rnacentral:rRNA from 1 species
CCCGGCACAAGCGGUGGAGCAUGUUGGUUUAAUUCGAUGCAACGCGAAGAACCUUACCUACUCUUGACAUCCAGAGAAUUUGCUAGAGAUAGCUUAGUGCCUUCGGGAACUCUGAGACAGGUGCUGCAUGGCUGUCGUCAGCUCGUGUUGUGAAAUGUUGGGUUAAGUCCCGCAACGAGCGCAACCCUUAUCCUUUGUUGCCAGCGAGUAAUGUCGGGAACUCAAAGGAGACUGCCGGUGAUAAACCGGAGGAAGGUGGGAUGACGUCAAGUCAUCAUGGCCCUUACGAGUAGGGCUACACACGUGCUACAAUGGCAUAUACAAAGAGAAGCGAACUCGCGAGAGCAAGCGGACCUCAUAAAGUAUGUCGUAGUCCGGAUUGGAGUCUGCAACUCGACUCCAUGAAGUCGGAAUCGCUAGUAAUCGUGGAUCAGAAUGUCACGGUGAAUACGUUCCCGGGUCUU